GUGUUGACAUAUGUGUAUUUACAAACAUUGGUACUUUGUGAUGUCCUUGACAUUGAUGCCAAUGUUACAUUUUUAUCUUUAUAGCUAGGUACAGCGGUCAUUUUAAUUGAUUAUCGUACAAGGAUCUACCUCAUUCUUGACCUCGACUUACAAAUUAGUUACAUUGUAAUAUGCAUAAGACUACGACACUAUUUUCUUGCAACUUGUUUUAUAAUUAUAGAUUUUGAAUAUCUGAAAAAAAAUACAUUAUUGAAAUUCCUAGCAAUACAAACGUCGUAAGUGGCAUCAUUGCCUGGUAUUAAACGGUUCUAAAGGGGACGCCAUUAUUACAGUCUAUUGUUGUGAAAUAGAUAUUAGCCGAGUUCAGUGUUUUGUGUCUUUUUAAACUGUUUUUUUAUCUAAUUUCAAUAAAAAUGCCAAAGCGGCGUAUAAUAUGCCGACAAUUACAGGAAAAGAGCCAAAUAUGUGCUACUUCUUUUCACAAAAUACCAUAAGAUCCUGCGAUACGAGCAGUGUGGCUAGAAAAUUUCGCCAUAUCUGAAUAUGAUUUUUCAAAGGAUAAUUAUGUCUGUCGAAGCAUUUCCGUGCUACAGAUAUUAAGGUAACAGUAACUGGAAAACGAUGUCUCACACAUGGAGCUGUGCCUAUUAAUACAACAUUUGGAAGGUAAUACGUUUUAGCACAGUGUUGAUGAAAUGGUUGUGCCGUCUCAAAGGUUCCCUCUUCGAGAAAUUGCCAGUGAAGGAAAUUUUAUAGAUGUUGCUAUAAAACAUCUUCAAUCACAUGUUGUCCCUGUUCCAUAAGAGACGAGCUGUCAAUGUUGUGAGCUCAAAAUUCAGCUUAUUUUUGUUGCGUACAUUUAAAACAUGCUUAUUUUCCCAUACGAUUAAAUGUUGUUCAAUGUAAAUUCAUUUUUCCGUUACUUUUAGUACAAAUAUGUUUUGUUUUCUUUGCAUUGUUUAUAUUCCAGCAGAUUUUAAUUAAAUAUAUUUUUGCUCCUUU